rnacentral:rRNA from 1 species
UACAGAGGGCUCAAGCGUUGUUCGGAUUCAUUGGGCGUAAAGGGUGCGUAGGUGGUGGGGCAAGUCGGAUGUGAAAUCUCAGGGCUCAACCCUGAAACUGCAUUCGAUACUGCUUUGCUCGAGGACUGGAGAGGAGAUUGGAAUUCACGGUGUAGCAGUGAAAUGCGUAGAUAUCGUGAGGAAGACCAGUGGCGAAGGCGGAUCUCUGGACAGUUCCUGACACUGAGGCACGAAGGCCAGGGGAGCAAACGGG